GGCGAUUAUGGCAGGCAGCAGUGGCUUCUGGAGUGGGCGUGCUCCUGGUAGGAUUGACAGCUGUCUGUCUCUGCAGGAGGACCAAGAAAAACUAUUCUCAGAGACCUACAGCCAGACAGGAUGAUCACAGCCAAUGUAUGUUCUAAACAAAAUACAUCA